UACGUAGGGGGGCAAGCGUUAGUCCGGAAUCAUUGGGCGUAAAGAGCGCGUAGGCGGCCCAGUAAGUCCGCUCUGAAAGUCAGGGGCUCAACCCCUGAAAUGCGGGUGGAUACUCGCUGGGCUAGAGUCCGGAAGAAGGCGAGUGGAAUUCCUGGUGUUAGCGGUGAAAUGCGCAGAGUAUCAGGAGGAACACCGAUAGGCGGAGC
rnacentral:rRNA from 1 species